GACGAACGCUGGCGGCGUGCCUAAUACAUGCAAGUCGAACGCAGUUGGGACGGGUGAGUAACACGUGGCUAACCUCGCAUCAGAGGGUAUAACCCUUGGAAACAGGUGCUAAACCGAUAUUGGUGGAUGGGCCCGCGGGGCAUUAGCUAGUUGGUGAGGUAACGGCUCACCAAGGCAACGAUGCAUAGCCGAUCUGAGGGGGGGAUGGGCCAAACUGGGACGGAGAAACGGCCCAGACUCCGACGGUAGGCAGCAGGAGGGAAGCUUCGGCAAUGGACGAAAGUCUGACCGAGCAACGCCGCGUGAGUGAAGAAGGGUUUAGGAUCGUAAAACUCUGUUGUUAGAGAAGCGGUAUCUAACCAGAAAGCCACGGCUAACUACGUGCCAGCAGCCGCGGUAAUUC
rnacentral:rRNA from 1 species